rnacentral:rRNA from 1 species
AUUGAACGCUGGCGGCAGGCUUAACACAUGCAAGUCGAGCGGGGGAAGGUAGCUUGCUACUGGACCUAGCGGCGGACGGGUGAGUAAUGCUUAGGAAUCUGCCUAUUAGUGGGGGACAACAUCUCGAAAGGGAUGCUAAUACCGCAUACGUCCUACGGGAGAAAGCAGGGGAUCUUCGGACCUUGCGCUAAUAGAUGAGCCUAAGUCGGAUUAGCUAGUUGGUGGGGUAAAGGCCUACCAAGGCGACGAUCUGUAGCGGGUCUGAGAGGAUGAUCCGCCACACUGGGACUGAGACACGGCCCAGACUCCUACGGGAGGUAGCAGUGGGGAAUAUCGGACAAUGGGGGGAACCCUGAUCCAGCCAUGCCGCGUGUGUGAAGAAGGCCUUAUGGUUGUAAAGCACUUUAAGCGAGGAGGAGGCUACUUUAGUUAAUACCUAGGGAUAGUGGACGUUACUCGCAGAAUAAGCACCGGCUAACUCUGUGCCAGCAGCCGCCGUAA